rnacentral:rRNA from 1 species
AUUGAACGCUGGCGGCAGGCCUAACACAUGCAAGUCGAGCGGAUGAAGGGAGCUUGCUCCUGGAUUCAGCGGCGGACGGGUGAGUAAUGCCUAGGAAUCUGCCUGGUAGUGGGGGAUAACGUCCGGAAACGGGCGCUAAUACCGCAUACGUCCUGAGGGAGAAAGUGGGGGAUCUUCGGACCUCACGCUAUCAGAUGAGCCUAGGUCGGAUUAGCUAGUUGGUGGGGUAAAGGCCUACCAAGGCGACGAUCCGUAACUGGUCUGAGAGGAUGAUCAGUCACACUGGAACUGAGACACGGUCCAGACUCCUACGGGAGGCAGCAGUGGGGAUUAUUGGACAAUGGGCGAAAGCCUGAUCCAGCCAUGCCGCGUGUGUGAAGAAGGUCUUCGGAUUGUAAAGCACUUUAAGUUGGGAGGAAGGGCAGUAAGUUAAUACCUUGCUGUUUUGACGUUACCAACAGAAUAAGCACCGGCUAACUUCGUG